UACGAAGGGGGCUAGCGUUGCUCGGAUUGACUGGGCGUAAAGGGCGCGUAGGCGGCCUGUUAAGUCGAACGUGAAAUCCCCGGGCUCAACCCGGGAACUGCGUCCGAUACUGGCAGGCUUGAAUUCGGGAGAGGGAUGCGGAAUUCCAGGUGUAGUGGUGAAAUGCGUAGAGAUCGGCAAGAACACCCAGGGGGAAACCGAGCCGACUGGGCAAGUGCUGACGCUGAGGUGCGAGAGCGUGGGGAGCGAACCGG
rnacentral:rRNA from 1 species